rnacentral:rRNA from 1 species
AUUCCUACGGGGGGCAGCAGUAGGGAAUAUUGGGCAAUGGGCGCAAGCCUGACCCAGCAACGCCGCGUGAAGGAAGAAGGCUUUCGGGUUGUAAACUUCUUUUCUUGGGGACGAAGAAAGUGACGGUACCCAAGGAAUAAGCCACGGCUAACUACGUGCCAGCAGCCGCGGUAAUACGGAGGAUGCGAGCGUUAUCCGGAUUUAUUGGGUUUAAAGGGUGCGCAGGCGGAGGUGCAAGUCAGCGGUCAAAUUGCGGGGCUCAACCCCGUACUGCCGUUGAAACUGCAUCCCUUGAGUGCGCGAGA